rnacentral:rRNA from 1 species
GACCUGCGGAGGGAUCAUUACACAAAUAUGAAGGCGGGCUGGAACCUCUCGGGGUUACAGCCUUGCUGAAUUAUUCACCCUUGUCUUUUGCGUACUUCUUGUUUCCUUGGUGGGUUCGCCCACCACUAGGACAAACAUAAACCUUUUGUAAUUGCAAUCAGCGUCAGUAACAAAUUAAUAAUUACAACUUUCAACAACGGAUCUCUUGGUUCUGGCAUCGAUGAAGAACGCAGCGAAAUGCGAUAAGUAGUGUGAAUUGCAGAAUUCAGUGAAUCAUCGAAUCUUUGAACGCACAUUGCGCCCUUUGGUAUUCCAAAGGGCAUGCCUGUUCGAGCGUCAUUUGUACCCUCAAGCUUUGCUUGGUGUUGGGCGUCUUGUCUCUAGCUUUGCUGGAGACUCGCCUUAAAGUAAUUGGCAGCCGGCCUACUGGUUUCGGAGCGCAGCACAAGUCGCACUCUCUAUCAGCAAAGGUCUAGCAUCCAUUAAGCCUUUUUUUCAACUUUUGACCUCGGAUCAGGUAGGGAUACCCGCUGAACUUAAGCAUA